UAGCUAAUACCGCAUAACAGUAGAUGUUGCAUGACAUUUGCUUAAAAGGUGCAAUUGCAUCACUACCAGAUGGACCUGCGUCGUAUAAGCUAGUUGGUGGGGUAACGGCUCACCAAGGCGACGAUACAUAGCCGACCUGAGAGGGUGAUCGGCCACACUGGGACUGAGACACGGCCCAGACUCCUACGGGAGGCAGCAGUAGGGAAUCUUCGGCAAUGGACGGAAGUCUGACCGAGCAACGCCGCGUGAGUGAAGAAGGUUUUCGGAUCGUAAAGCUCUGUUGUAAGAGAAGAACGAGUGUGAGAGUGGAAAGUUCACACUGUGACGGUAUCUUACCAGAAAGGGACGGCUAACUACGUGCCAGCAGCCGCGGUAAUACGUAGGUCCCGAGCGUUGUCCGGAUUUAUUGGGCGUAAAGCGAGCGCAGGCGGUUAGAUAAGUCUGAAGUUAAAGGCUGUGGCUUAACCAUAGUACGCUUUGGAAACUGUUUAACUUGAGUGCAAGAGGGGAGAGUGGAAUUCCAUGUGUAGCGGUGAAAUGCGUAGAUAUAUGGAGGAACACCGGUGGCGAAAGCGGC
rnacentral:rRNA from 1 species